rnacentral:rRNA from 1 species
GAUGAACGCUAGCGGCAGGCUUAACACAUGCAAGUCGAGGGGCAGCAUGAGACGGAGAUUCGUCGAAGUCUUGAUGGCGACCGGCGCAAGGGUGCGUAACGCGUGAGCAACUUGCCCGUUUCAGGGGGAUAACCGUUGGAAAACGACGACUAAUACCCCAUAGUAUCGUGAAGAGGCAUCUCUUACCAAUUAAAGAAUUUCGGAAACGGAUAGGCUCGCGUGACAUUAGCUAGAUGGCGGGGUAACGGCCCACCAUGGCGACGAUGUCUAGGGGUUCUGAGAGGAAGGUCCCCCANACUGGAACUGAGACACGGUCCAGACUCCUACGGGAGCAGCAGUGAGGAUA